rnacentral:sRNA from 1 species
GCCUAAACCCGAUUGCAGUGGAAAGCCCGGAGUGCAGCGCAGCGAAACGAGGACUUGGAACGGAAAGCGGGGCUGCAG